AGAGUUUGAUCAUGGCUCAGAUUGAACGCUGGCGGAAUGCUUUACACAUGCAAGUCGAGCGGCAGCGCGGGGCAACCUGGCGGCGAGCGGCGAACGGGUGAGUAAUGCAUCGGAACAUGUCCAUUCGUGGGGGAUAGCCCGGCGAAAGCCGGAUUAAUACCGCAUACGCCCGAGAGGGGAAAGUGGGGGACCGCAAGGCCUCACGCGAUUGGGUUGGCCGAUGUCCGAUUAGCUAGUUGGCGGGGUAAGAGCCCACCAAGGCGAUGAUCGGUAGCUGGUCUGAGAGGAUGAUCAGCCACACUGGGACUGAGACACGGCCCAGACUCCUACGGGAGGCAGCAGUGGGGAAUUUUGGACAAUGGGGGAAACCCUGAUCCAGCCAUUCCGCGUGAGUGAAGAAGGCCUUCGGGUUGUAAAGCUCUUUUGUCCGGAACGAAGCGGUGGACGUGAAUAGCGUCCAUUACUGACGGUACCGGAAGAAUAAGCACCGGCUAACUACGUGCCAGCAGCCGCGGUAAUACGUAGGGUGCGAGCGUUAAUCGGAAUUACUGGGCGUAAAGCGUGCGCAGGCGGUUUUGUAAGCCAGAUGUGAAAUCCCCGGGCUUAACCUGGGAAUGGCAUUUGGGACUGCAAGGCUGGAGUUUGGCAGAGGAGACUGGAAUUCCUGGUGUAGCAGUGAAAUGCGUAGAUAUCAGGAGGAGCACCGAUGGCGAAAGCAGGUCUCUGGGCUGAAACUGACGCUCAUGCACGAAAGCGUGGGGAGCAAACAGGAUUAGAUACCCUGAUAGUCCACGCCCUAAACGAUGUCGACUGGAUGUUGGGGGUUUGACACUCUCAGUAACGAAGCUAACGCGUGAAGUCGACCGCCUGGGGGAGUACGGCCGCAAGGUUAAAACUCAAAGGAAUUGACGG
rnacentral:rRNA from 1 species